rnacentral:rRNA from 1 species
CGCUGGCGGCGUGCUUAACACAUGCAAGUCGAACGAUGAACCUGGAGCUUGCUCUAGGGGAUUAGUGGCGAACGGGUGAGUAACACGUGAGUAACCUGCCCUUGACUCUGGGAUAACCUCCGGAAACGGACGCUAAUACCGGAUAUGACGCACGGAGGCAUCUCCUGUGCGUGGAAAGAACUUCGGUCAAGGAUGGACUCGCGGCCUAUCAGGUAGUUGGUGAGGUAACGGCCCACCAAGCCUACGACGGGUAGCCGGCCUGAGAGGGUGACCGGCCACACUGGGACUGAGACACGGCCCAGACUCCUACGGGAGGCAGCAGUGGGGAAUAUUGCACAAUGGGCGCAAGCCUGAUGCAGCAACGCCGCGUGAGGGACGACGGCCUUCGGGUUGUAAACCUCUUUUAGUAGGGAAGAAGCGA